rnacentral:rRNA from 1 species
AUUGAACGCUGGCGGCAGGCCUAACACAUGCAAGUCGAACGAGUGGCGGACGGGUGAGUAAUGUCUGGGAAACUGCCCGAUGGAGGGGGGUAACUACGGGACACGGUAGCUAAUACCGCAUACCAUCGGAUGUGCCCAGAUGGUAUUAGCUAGUAGGUGGGGUAACGGCUCCCCUAGGCGACGAUCCCUAGCUGGUCUGAGAGGAUGACCAGCCACACUGGAACUGAGACACGGUCCAGACUCCUACGGGAGGCAGCAGUGGGGAAUAUUGCACAAUGGGCGCAAGCCUGAUGCAGCCAUGCCGCGUGUAUGAAGAAGGCCUUCGGGUUGUAAAGUACUUUCAGCGAGGAGGCGUUACGCGCAGAAGAAGCACCGGCUAACUCCGUGCCAGCAGCCGCGGUAAUAC